rnacentral:rRNA from 2 species
UCCUGACUGACCGAUAGUGAACCAGUACCGUGAGGGAAAGGCGAAAAGAACCCCGGCGAGGGGAGUGAAAAAGAACCUGAAACCGUGUACGUACAAGCAGUGGGAGCACGCUUAGGCGUGUGACUGCGUACCUUUUGUAUAAUGGGUCAGCGACUUAUAUUCUGUAGCAAGGUUAACCGAAUAGGGGAGCCGAAGGGAAACCGAGUCUUAACUGGGCGUUAAGUUGCAGGGUAUAGACCCGAAACCCGGUGAUCUAGCCAUGGGCAGGUUGAAGGUUGGGUAACACUAACUGGAGGACCGAACCGACUAAUGUUGAAAAAUUAGCGGAUGACUUGUGGCUGGGGGUGAAAGGCCAAUCAAACCGGGAGAUAGCUGGUUCUCCCCGAAAGCUAUUUAGGUAGCGCCUCGUGAAUUCAUCUCCGGGGGUAGAGCACUGUUUCGGCAAGGGGGUCAUCCCGACUUACCAACCCGAUGCAAACUGCGAAUACCGGAGAAUGUUAUCACGGGAGACACACGGCGGGUGCUAACGUCCGUCGUGAAGAGGGAAACAACCCAGACCGCCAGCUAAGGUCCCAAAGUCAUGGUUAAGUGGGAAACGAU